UACAUGGGGUGCAAACGUUGCUCGGAAUCAUUGGGCGUAAAGCGCGCGUAGGCGGUUAUCUAAGUCGGAUGUGAAAGCCCUCGGCUUAACUGAGGAAGUGCAUCCGAAACUGAAUAGCUAGAGUACGAAAGAGGGUCGCGGAAUUCCCGGUGUAGAGGUGAAAUUCGUAGAUAUCGGGAGGAACACCGGUGGCGAAGGCGGCGACCUGGGUCGAGACUGACGCUGAGCGCGAAAGCGUGGGGAGCAAACAGG
rnacentral:rRNA from 1 species